GACGAACCGUCCAAACGUUAUUCGGAAUUACUGGGCUUAAAGCGUGCGUAGGCGGCUUGGUAGGUGGGGUGUGAAAUCCCUCGGCUCAACCGAGGAAUAGCGCUCCAAACCCCCAAGCUUGAGGAAGACAGGGGUGAUGGGAACAGUUGGUGGAGCGGUGAAAUGCGUUGAUAUCAACUGGAACACCGGUGGCGAAAGCGCAUCACUGGGUCUUAUCUGACGCUGAGGCACGAAAGCUAGGGUAGCGAACGGG
rnacentral:misc_RNA from 1 species